AGUGAACGCUGGCGGCGUGGAUUAGGCAUGCAAGUCGAGCGAUCUUGUGUCUAGCCGCAAGGCUAGAUUCGAGAUAGCGGCAAACGGGUGAGUAACACGUGAGUAAUCUACCCUUAAGACUGGAAUAGCCCGGAGAAAUUCGGGGUAAUGACAGAUGUGACUACGACCUUUAUGAGGAUGUAGUAAAAGGCGGGGACCGUAAGGCCUGCCACUUAAGGAGGAACUCGCGUCCUAUCAGCUUGUUGGUGAGGUAACGGCCCACCAAGGCGAAGACGGGUAGCUAGUCUGAGAGGAUGUUUAGCCACACUGGGACUGAGAUACUGCCCAGACUCCUACGGGAGGCUG
rnacentral:rRNA from 1 species